CAUGCCUCACUUGUGGAUGCAGAAGGCAACAGGAUAUCCAAACACAUGCCCACAUAUUCUCCUACGUAGAUAAACAUCAUCACUAUGUAACACAUUCUAACACUUGUUCUUUACAAUUAUCAACAUUAUAUAUGGCUCAGAAUCGACAACAUAAACUACCAAAUCAGACCUGUUACUGAUUUGAAAGUUUCUAGCAUCAACAUCAACAAAAAGAAGAGCUAUGUUGAAGCAAGGUACACCUGAAACACCAAAUUUAUGAAUAAUUGAUAAAUAAAUAAGUUGAUGAUUGAACCAAUCUUAACAGUGUCAAAUAAGGAAACCCUCAACUACUAUCAAAGAUAUCUUUUUCAAAAUAAAAUGAAAACCACCUACAACAUUAAAUAACUAUGGCAAAAUGUCACUACCUAUAAACUUACUUUUAACAACUAUUGUAUUUCAAGUUUUAUUUUGAAAGAACUUCAGAGAAAACUUAUUCUAGCGACACUUUUACUCCAAUUUUUAUUUUGAAAAGCCAAUAUUGCAUAGUUUUAUAUUAACUCCCAUGCAGAACAUGGGUGAAAUACUAGCUAUAUUACGAGACUUUCUGCUAACUUUUCUAUUUCUUUUUAAAGCAUACUAAUCAGAGUGGAGGUACUGCUGCACCUUAACCACCUAGCACCUAUGUUGCUUUGACUCUUCAAAAAUGCCAACCGGUCUGUGUUUUUGAAGGAUCAACCACCGGUGCCAUAACAUUUUUGGAGAGUCCGAGCAACAUAGCCUAGCACAAGUAACUGUUUCUUGCAGAGAGGAGCUGUCACAUGCAAAUAAUAAGAAAUGGCAAGUGAUUCCGCCACCAAUGAAAUGAUCCAUUAGAAGUUAAGCAACAAUAAAAUUCAUAGUCACAUACCUGGUUGACUUUAUUAGGAGUGAUGUACUUCCAAAAUUUGUAGGACCAAUAAAAAGUGUCAAAGAGUCGGUUUCCUCAAAUGUGAUCCUCCCAUGAUUUCCCGUUUCAGUCAUUCCAUGGUCACUUACUACCAACUGCAGAUGUGUGCAAUAUAUACAAGACAAGGGAUUAUUAAAGUCAGAAUAUUGAGAUAUUUGUUUGUUGAGUAAUCAAAAGAUAUCAUCACAUACUUUUUUGACCCUCAACCAUACUGGGGAAAAGUAAUUCAAGCAAAAUAUGGAGAGGAGAACAAG
rnacentral:lncRNA from 1 species